GCAUAUCAAUAAGCGGAGGAAAAGAAACCAACAGGGAUUACCUCAGUAACGGCGGAGUGAAGCGGUAACAGCUCAAAUUUGAAAUCUGGCCUCACGGUCCGAGUUGUAAUUUGUAGAGGAUGCUUCGAGCAUGGUCUGGCCUAAGUUCCUUGGAACAGGACGUCAUAGAGGGUGAGAAUCCCGUAUGCGGCCAGGUGCCUACGCUCAUGUGAAGCUCCUUCGACGAGUCGAGUUGUUUGGGAAUGCAGCUCAAAAUGGGUGGUAAAUUUCAUCUAAAGCUAAAUAUUGGCCAGAGACCGAUAGCGCACAAGUAGAGUGAUCGAAAGAUGAAAAGCACUUUGGAAAGAGAGUUAAACAGUACGUGAAAUUGUUGAAAGGGAAGCGCUUGCAACCAGACUUGCGCGCGGCCGAUCAUCCGGUGUUCUCACCGGUGCACUCGGCCGUGCUCAGGCCAGCAUCGGUUUUGGCGGCUGGAUAAAGGCCCUAGGAAUGUGGCUCCUCUCGGGGAGUGUUAUAGCCUAGGGUGCAAUGCAGCCUGCUGGGACCGAGGACCGCGCUUCGGCUAGGAUGCUGGCGUAAUGGUUGUAAGCGGCCCGUCUUGAAACACGGACC
rnacentral:rRNA from 1 species